CUCACCCAAAAAGCAACAACUUCAUUUGCAAGUGCCUUCCAGGAAAAGAAAAUAAAGCCUGCUCUGCUGGAGGUCUAUUAGAAGUGAGUGAGGCAUUCUAGAUCAAAGGGACCCUGAGAAAGGUGAUCAGUGUUAUCUUAACCAAGAUUUUGUUUUAGGAAGAAAUAACUUGCUCCAAGGGGGAAAAAGAAUACUCCCUUAAAAAAAGAGGCAUUCAUUCUCUUUGGACAGUUGUUUAAAAUGAGAAUUGAGUCAGCUUUGCCAGAUAUCCUACUCUGCCUGUUCUGCCUGUUAAAAAAAAAAAAAAACUUCACUGAUGAGUACCAAUUUAUACUAGACUUGAGAGCUAUAAAAUAUCAAAGUGUGAUGUGCAUUACUUUUAGGAUUUUUCUUUGCCAGAGAAACAGAUGCCUUAAAAUUUUGAACAGGCUUGAUUUUCAUAACCUAAAUUUAUGAGACUAGAGAUAUGUAUGCAUCUGAAACUAAAUAUAUGUUUGUCUCAACCAAUAAGUGCUGUCUUUUAUACAUUGCAUCUGACAUAAAAGGGCCACAUUGCCAUUUGAAAAGCUGGCUUAUAUCUAUUGCUUUAACUAAGUCUAGUUCUGAUCAUUAACACUGUUCCUAAAUGAAUAAGAGAUUUAAGGCCAUUCUCUUAUGGUGGGCGGGGGCGGG
rnacentral:lncRNA from 1 species